rnacentral:rRNA from 1 species
CCAGACUCCUACGGGAGGCAGCAGUGAGGAAUAUUGGUCAAUGGGCGGAAGCCUGAACCAGCCAAGUCGCGUGAGGGAUUAAGGCCCUGCGGGUCGUAAACCUCUUUUGCCGGGGAGCAGUGGUCCGGACGCGUCCGGACCGGGAGAGUACCCGGAGAAAAAGCAUCGGCUAACUCCGUGCCAGCAGCCGCGGUAAUACGGAGGAUGCGAGCGUUAUCCGGAUUUAUUGGGUUUAAAGGGUGCGUAGGCGGGCAUUUAAGCCGGCGGUCAAAUGUCGGGGCUCAACCCCGGCCUGCCGUCGGAACUGGGUGUCUUGAGUGGGCGAGAAGUAUGCGGAAUGCGUGGUGUAGCGGUGAAAUGCUUAGAUAUCACGAAGAACUCCGAUUGCGAAGGCAGCAUACGGCAGCGCUACUGACGCUGAAGCUCGAAGGCGCGGGUAUCGAACAGGAUUAGAUACCCCUGUAUC